rnacentral:rRNA from 1 species
CCUACGGGAGGCAGCAGUGAGGAAUAUUGGUCAAUGGGCGGGAGCCUGAACCAGCGAAGUCGCGUGAGGGAAGACGGUCCUCUGGACUGUAAACCUCUUUAGCCGGGGAGACAUGCUGGCCCCGCGUGCCGGGGGGGAUAGUACCCGCAGAAUACGCGUCGGCAAAAUCGGGGCCAGCAGCCGCGGUAAUACGGAGAUUGCGAGCGUUAUCUGGUUUUCUUGGGGUAAAGGGGUGCUUGGGCGGGUUUAUACGUCAGCGGUAAACUGGCCGGGCUCAACCCGGGCCGGCCGUUGAAACUGGGGAUCUUGAGUGGGCGAGAGGUAUGCGGAAUGCGUGGUGUAGCGGUGAAAUGCAUAGAUAUCACGCAGAACUCAGAUUGCGAAGGCAGCAUACCGGCGCCCGACUGACGCUGAGGCACGAAAGCGUGGGGAGCGAACAGGAUUAGAUACCCGAGUAGUC